UUGACCUCGGAUCAGGUAGGGAUACCCGCUGAACUUAAGCAUAUCAAUAAGCGGAGGAAAAGAAACCAACCGGGAUUGCCCCAGUAACGGCGAGUGAAGCGGCAAGAGCUCAAAUUUGAAAGCUGGCCCCCCCGGGGUCCGCGUUGUAAUUUGCAGAGGAUGCUUCGGGAGCGGCCCCCGUCUAAGUGCCCUGGAACGGGCCGUCGUAGAGGGUGA
rnacentral:rRNA from 1 species